rnacentral:rRNA from 1 species
AGAGUUGAUCCUGGCUCAGGAUGAACGCUAGCGACAGGCUAACACAUGCAAGUCGAGGGGCAGCAUAAAAGUAGCAAUACUUGGUGGCGACCGGCGCACGGGUGAGUAACGCGUAUGCAACCUACCUAUCAGAGGGGAAUAACCCGGCGAAAGUCGGACUAAUACCGCAUAAAACAGGGGCACCGCAUGGUGAUAUUUGUUAAAGAAAUUCGCUGAUAGAUGGGCAUGCGUUCCAUUAGGUAGUUGGUGAGGUAACGGCUCACCAAGCCGACGAUGGAUAGGGAACUGAGAGGUUGGUCCCCCACACUGGUACUGAGACACGGACCAGACUCCUACGGGAGGCAGCAGUGAGGAAUAUUGGUCAAUGGGCGGGAGCCUGAACCAGCCAAGUCGCGUGAAGGAAGAAGGAUCUAUGGUUCGUAAACUUCUUUUGCAGGGGAAUAAAGUGCAGGACGUGUCCUGUUUUGUAUGUACCCUGAGAAUAAGGAUCGGCUAACUCCGUGCCAGCCGCUGC